UACGUAGGGUGCAAGCGUUGUCCGGAAUUAUUGGGCGUAAAGAGCUCGUAGGCGGUUUGUCGCGUCUGCUGUGAAAACUCGGGGCUUAACUCCGGGCCUGCAGUGGGUACGGGCAGACUAGAGUGUGGUAGGGGAGACUGGAAUUCCUGGUGUAGCGGUGAGAUGCGCAGAUAUCAGGAAGAACACCCGUGGCGAAGGCGGCUCUCUGGGACGGUACUGACGCUGAGGCGCGAAAGCGUGGGGAGCAAACAGG
rnacentral:rRNA from 1 species